UAGGGAAUCUUCCACAAUGGGCGCAAGCCUGAUGGAGCAACACCGCGUGAGUGAAGAAGGGUUUCGGCUCGUAAAGCUCUGUUGUUAAAGAAGAACGUGGGUAAGAGUAACUGUUUACCCAGUGACGGUAUUUAACCAGAAAGCCACGGCUAACUACGUGCCA
rnacentral:rRNA from 1 species